AGAGUUUGAUCCUGGCUCAGAAUGAACGCUGGCGGCGUGCUUAACACAUGCAAGUCGCACGAGAAAUCUUUAGCUUGCUAGAGAGAGUAAAGUGGCGAACGGGUGAGUAACGCGUGGGUAAUCUGCCCUCGAAUUUGGGAUAACAUUGCGAAAGCGAUGCUAAUACCGGAUAAUAUCCUUAUUUCUUUGGCGAUGAGGAUCAAAGGUGGCCUCUACAUGUAAGCUCUGUUUGGGGAUGAGCCCGCGUACCAUUAGCUUGUUGGCAGGGUAAUGGCCUACCAAGGCAACGAUGGUUAGCUGGUCUGAGAGGAUGAUCAGCCACACUGGAACUGACACACGGUCCAGACUCCUACGGGAGGCAGCAGUGAGGAAUUUUGCGCAAUGGGGGAAACCCUGACGCAGCAACGCCGCGUGAGUGAAGAAGGCUUUAGGGUCGUAAAGCUCUGUCAAGUGGGAAGAACCCGCCUUAACAUAACAGGUUAUGGCGCUGACGGUACCACUGAAGGAAGCACCGGCUAACUCCGUGCCAGCAGCCGCGGUAAUACGGGGGGUGCAAGCGUUAUUCGGAAUCAUUGGGCGUAAAGAGCGCGUAGGCGGUCUUGUUAGUCAGAUGUGAAAGCCCGGGGCUCAACCCCGGAAGUGCAUUUGAUACUGCAGGACUUGAGUAUGGGAGAGGGAAGUGGAAUUCCUGGUGUAGAGGUGAAAUUCGUAGAUAUCAGGAGGAACACCGGUGGCGAAGGCGACUUCCUGGACCAAUACUGACGCUGAGGCGCGAAGGCGUGGGUAGCAAACAGGAUUAGAUACCCUGGUAGUCCACGCAGUAAACGGUGAUCACUAGGUGUAGCGGGUAUUGACCCCUGCUGUGCCGCAGUUAACGCAUUAAGUGAUCCGCCUGGGGAGUACGAUCGCAAGAUUAAAACUCAAAGGAAUUGACUGGGGCCCGCACAAGCGGUGGAGCAUGUGGUUUAAUUCGACGCAACGCGAAGAACCUUACCUGGAUUUGACAUCUCGGGAAUUUUGUAGAAAUACGAAAGUGCCCUUCGGGGAACCCGAAGACAGGUGCUGCAUGGCUGUCGUCAGCUCGUGUCGUGAGAUGUUGGGUUAAGUCCCGCAACGAGCGCAACCCCUAUCUUUAGUUACCAUCAUUCAGUUGGGGACUCUGAAGAUACUGCCCCGGUUAACGGGGAGGAAGGUGGGGAU
rnacentral:rRNA from 1 species